rnacentral:rRNA from 1 species
GACGAACCGUGCGAACGUUGUUCGGAAUCACUGGGCAUAAAGGGCGCGUAGGCGGCUUAUCAAGUCAGGGGUGAAAUCCGGCAGCUCAACUGUCGAAGUGCCUUUGAUACUGAUGAGCUAGAGGGAGAUAGGGGUAUGCGGAACUUCCGGUGGAGCGGUGAAAUGCGUUGAUAUCGGAAGGAGCGCCGGUGGCGAAAGCGGCGUACUGGAUCUCUUCUGACGCUGAGGCGCGAAAGCUAGGGGAGCAAACGGG